UACGAAGGGUGCUAGCGUUGCUCGGAAUUACUGGGCGUAAAGCGCGCGCAGGUGGUCUGUUAAGUUGGGGGUGAAAGCCCGGAGCUCAACUCCGGAAUUGCCUUCAAAACUGGCAGGCUAGAGUUCGGAAGAGGAGAGUGGAAUUCCCAGUGUAGAGGUGAAAUUCGUAGAUAUUGGGAAGAACACCAGUGGUGAAGGCGGCUCUCUGGUCCGACACUGACACUGAGGCGCGAAAGCUUGGGGAGCAAACAGG
rnacentral:rRNA from 1 species